AGCGAACGCUGGCGGCAGGCUUAACACAUGCAAGUCGAACGCCCCGCAAGGGGAGUGGCAGACGGGUGAGUAACACGUGGGAACGCACCCUUUGGUUCGGAAUAACUUGGGGAAACUCAAGCUAAUACCGGAUAAGCCCUUAUGGGGAAAGGUUUACUGCCGAAGGAUCGGCCCGCGUCUGAUUAGCUAGUUGGUGAGGUAAUGGCUCACCAAGGCGACGAUCAGUAGCUGGUCUGAGAGGAUGAUCAGCCACACUGGGACUGAGACACGGCCCAGACUCCUACGGGAGGCAGCAGUGGGGAAUAUUGGACAAUGGGGGCAACCCUGAUCCAGCCAUGCCGCGUGAGUGAUGAAGGCCUUAGGGUUGUAAAGCUCUUUUACCCGGGACGAUAAUAACUGUACCGGGAGAAUAAGCCCCGGCUAACUUCGUGCCAGCAGCCGCGGUAA
rnacentral:rRNA from 1 species